GAUGAAGAACGUAGCGAAAUGCGAUACGUAGUGUGAAUUGCAGAAUUCAGUGAAUCAUCGAAUCUUUGAACGCACAUUGCACCUCUCGGUAUUCCGGGAGGUAAGCCUGUUCGAGCGUCAUUUGUACCCUCAAGCUCUGCUUGGUGUUGGGUGUUUGUUCCGCCUCUGUGUGUGAACUCGCCUCAAAACAAUUGGCAGCCGGCGUACUUGUUUCGGAGCGCAGCACAUUUUGCGAUCCAGAUCAACGUACAGCGGCAUCCAAGAAGCCUUAUUUAACGCUCUUGACCUCGGAUCAGGUAGGGAUACCCGCUGAACUUAAGCAUAUCAAUAAGCGGAGGA
rnacentral:misc_RNA from 1 species